rnacentral:tRNA from 1 species
GGGGGUAUAGCUCAGUAGUAGAGUGCAUGCCUAGCAUACACGGGGUCCUGGAUUCAAUCCUUAGUACCUCCA